rnacentral:hammerhead_ribozyme from 1 species
AUCCUGCUGAUGUGUCCCAACUUGGAGGAAACGCACGUCAUGGAU